AGAGCAAGCGGACCUCAUAAAGUAUGUCGUAGUCCGGAUUGGAGUCUGCAACUCGACUCCAUGAAGUCGGAAUCGCUAGUAAUCGUAGAUCAGAAUGCUACGGUGAAUACGUUCCCGGGCCUUGUACACACCGCCCGUCACACCAUGGGAGUGGGUUGCAAAAGAAGUAGGUAGCUUAACCUUCGGGAGGGCGCUUACCACUUUGUGAUUCAUGACUGGGGUGAAGUCGUAACAAGGUAACCGUAGGGGAACCUGCGGUUGGAUCACCUCCUUACCUUAAAGAA
rnacentral:rRNA from 2 species